UGAAGAGGAACAGAGCAUUGUGUCGGUGGAGUGUGUUUGUCAGGUUCACUCGUUUGAUGGCUCUCAGCGGGACGCAGCGGCUCUUCUUGAUCUGGAUCUGUACAUCCAAAUCAAUGGCUGACAGGUGCUGGAGGUGAUGGCCGGCGUCAGGGACGAAGAUCCACUGGACCUCGCUGAAACCAUCUACAACAACACUACGAGACUGUUCUUCAAACACACUUCAUGAGAACAACUUCCUAUGUACUAUACAACACAUGCACAAUAAAUGUGACAAGAAACAUGUAAUAUACUGGCUUUUUUGUUAAUUGAAAUA